rnacentral:rRNA from 1 species
AGAGUUUGAUCCUGGCUCAGGAUGAACGCUAGCGGCAGGCCUAACACAUGCAAGUCGAGGGGUAUUAGGAGCUUGCUUCUGAGAGACCGGCGCACGGGUGAGUAACGCGUAUGCAAUCUACCUUUCACAAGAGAAUAGCCCGGAGAAAUCCGGAUUAAUGCUCUAUAGUUUAUAGAACUGGCAUCGGUUUUAUAAUAAAGAUUUAUCGGUGAAAGAUGAGCAUGCGUCUCAUUAGCUAGUUGGUGUGGUAACGGCAUACCAAGGCAAUGAUGAGUAGGGGUCCUGAGAGGGAGAUCCCCCACACUGGUACUGAGACACGGACCAGACUCCUACGGGAGGCAGCAGUGAGGAAUAUUGGUCAAUGGAGGCAACUCUGAACCAGCCAUGCCGCGUGCAGGAUGACGAUCCUAUGGAUUGUAAACUGCUUUUUGUACAGGAAGAAAUGCAAUUACGUGUA